rnacentral:rRNA from 1 species
AUAUAAUAAAUAAAUAAUGUGUUUUAUUAAAAAAAAUAGUUUUUAAAUUAAUAUGUAUAUAUUUAUAUAAGUAAAAAAAAAAAAGUAUAAAAAAUUUAUUUAAAAAGUAAUGAAAAUGAAAUUUAAUUUAAAUUAAAAAUUUUAAAUUAAAAAUUAAUUUUUUUUACCUUUUGUAUCAGGGUUUAUUAAAAAAAAAUUAUAAUAAAGUUAAUCUCGAUUUUAUAAGAUUUAAAUAAAUAAUUUAGUUAGUGUAGAAAAAUUAUUAAUAAUAUUUAUUUGGAAAUGAAAUUUUAAUCGAAUAUAAAGGUAUCUAGUUUUUUAAUAAAUAAAUUUAAUUUAAAUAAUUUUUUUUUUUAUUUUUAAUUUUAGUAAAAAUAAAAUUAAAUUUAUUAAUAGUUUUAAGGUUAAACUUAAAAUUAAUUUUAUAAUAAAAAUUUAUUUUAAAAUUUAAUAUUAAUAAAAAUUUUAAUUUUUAAUAAAAAUGUUAUAAUUUAUUUUUUUUUAAAAAAAAUUAUUUAUAAUAUAUUUAAAUAUUUAUUAAAAUAUUUUUUUAAAUUAAUUAAAAAAUUAAAUUAUGAUAAAAUUAGUAUAAAAAAAAAAUAUUAAAAUAGAAAAAAUUUAUUUAAAUUAAAUUUUAAUAAUUAGGCAAAAUUAUUUUAAUUAAAUUAUUAUUCAACUGUUUAUCAAAAACUUAGUUUUUUGAAUUAUAAUAAAAAAUUUAACCUGCUCCAUGAUUAAAUUUAAAUAGCUGCAGUAUAUUGACUGUACUAAGGUAGCAUAAUCAAUUGUUUUUUAAUUAAAAGCUAGAAUGAAUGGUUUAAUGAAAUAAAAACUUUUUUAAAUUUAAAUUUAAAAUUUUUUUAUUAGUAAAAAAACUAAUAUAAAAUUAAAAGACGAGAAGACCCUAUAGAGUUUUAUAUAAAUAAAUAAAAAUUAAUUUAAUUUUAUUAAUACUUUUAAGUAUUUAUAUUUAAUUGGGGUGAUUAUUAAAAUUAAAAAACUUUAAUUUAUUGUAAACAAAAAUUAUUGAAAUUUUGAUCUUUAAUUUUUAAUUAAAAGAAUAAAUUACCUUAGGGAUAACAGUGUAAUUUUUUUUAAUAGUUCAUAUUGAAAAAAAAGUUUGCAACCUCGAUGUUGAAUUAAGAUUAAAUUUAAAAGUAGAAAUUUAAUAUUUUUGGUCUGUUCGACCAUUAAAAUCUUACAUGAUUUGAGUUCAGAUCGGCGUGAGCCAGAUCAGUUUCUAUCUUUAAAAUAUAAAAAUUUUAUUGUACGAAAGGACUUAAAAUUUUAAAUAAUUUAUUAAUAAAAUUGUGAAUUAAUUUA